rnacentral:rRNA from 1 species
UACGGAGGAUGCAAGCGUUAUCCGGAUUCAUUGGGUUUAAAGGGUACGUAGGCGGCCUGUUAAGUCAGUGGUGAAAGUUUGCGGCUUAACCGUAAAAUUGCCAUUGAUACUGAUAGGCUUGAGUACAGUUGAGGUAGGCGGAAUGUGUAGUGUAGCGGUGAAAUGCUUAGAUAUUACACAGAACUCCGAUUGCGAAGGCAGCUUACUAAACUGAGACUGACGCUGAGGUACGAAAGCGUGGGUAGCGAACAGGAUUAGAUACCCUGGUAGUCCACGCCGUAAACGAUGCUCACUCGCUGUUUGCGAUAUAUUGCAAGCGGCCCAGCGAAAGCGUUAAGUGAGCCACCUGGGGAGUACGCCGGCAACGGUGAA